GAUUUCUACCGGAUACAUAAUAAGAUCGUUGCAGCGUUCAAUGCUUUUAUCGACUACACUGAAAUAAAUCCGUGAAGCUAUUUUAUCAGAAAAAUCAUAUAAGAUCAAAUCAUCAAUCGACAUAUAUGUUUCAAAUUACGUCUAACGCAUUUGACAUGCUAAACAGUUUAAAUGUAACUGCCACCUAAUAAACAUUACGCAGCUACGAACUAGUUUAAGUUAUAUGCACAUCAUGUAUGCAGUACAUGUCGAGUUAUCAGCAGAGCAUAUAACUUAUACUGGCUUCUUCAAAUAGUGCAUCCUAUAUGGAUGAAUGUCAUGUAGAUAGUAUCAUGUUUGCACCUCAGAUUUGGCGACAUUGCAAAGAACGUGGAUCAAUAAAAGUUCAGGUCAAGCUUUAAAUUCAUUUUUUUGCUGACAGAAUUUGGAAAAUAUUCAUCCCGAAAAUGUAUCAUGACGGAUCGAGCUCCUACAACUAUUUCAAUUUAUUCACCCUCGAAUAUCCACUCGGACUAGGCACCGAAAGACGUUCUUUGAAAGCUUUCAUCCUGAAAGCUUUCAUUCAAUAGGUGAAUCAAUCUCCCUGAUAAUUCAUAGUUUUCAUUCACAGACGAACAGUCACUCCUUAUCUGUGGAAUGUAAAGAUGGCUAAAUAAAACAUAUGUGAAGCUAAAAUUUCCAAAUUUGUUUUUAUAAUACUAUUAUUACAUUCAAGCUAAGCUCACUAACAUAAAUCAUAUGGAAAGAACAAUCGAAAAUAUAAGAGUUCCAUAUACGACAAAC